rnacentral:rRNA from 1 species
GACGGGAGGAUGCAAGUGUUAUCCGGAAUCACUGGGCGUAAAGCGUCUGUAGGUGGUUUAAUAAGUCAACUGUUAAAUCUUGAGGCUCAACCUCAAAAUCGCAGUCGAAACUAUUAGGCUAGAGUAUAGUAGGGGUAAAGGGAAUUUCCAGUGGAGCGGUGAAAUGCGUAGAGAUUGGAAAGAACACCGAUGGCGAAGGCACUUUACUGGGCUAUUACUAACACUCAGAGACGAAAGCUAGGGUAGCAAAUGGG